AAGACUUUAAGUUAAUAAAACUAGAAACCUUCAAAGUUUCCAAUAGACGUAAUCUAAGUCUUG
rnacentral:tRNA from 1 species